UACGGAGGGUGCAAGCGUUAAUCGGAAUUACUGGGCGUAAAGCGCACGCAGGUGGCUGAGUAAGUCGAUUGUGAAAGCCCCGGGCUCAACCUGGGAACCGCGCUUGAGACUGGCACGCUAGAGUUCGGGAGAGGAUGGUGGAAUUCCCAGUGUAGAGGUGAAAUUCGUAGAUAUUGGGAAGAACACCGAUGGACGAAGGCAGCCAUCUGGACCGACACUGACGCUGA
rnacentral:rRNA from 1 species